CUGAAACGCAAACUGGCGGAAGGUUCACUGAUCUAGGAUGUUUUCUCCUGGGCACAUUCAUCUGCUUGUGGGAGGAACGCCUAAAGAGAGUAUGAGAACAACUCCAGUAAGCACAUGGCGCCUCCGCGCCCUCAUGAGGUGGUGACAGGCCACUGUGCUAGUGAACAGCCCCUUCUUCCCCGCCAAGGGAUGCAUCAGAGGACACGCAGCGAUGCUGCCGACGCUGGAGACCCUGAGUCCAAGGUCCUGUCCUGUACUCCACCUCUCAGGUCACCGCCCACCUGGGCCUCUUCCAAGCCUCCUUGACUUUCUUUGGCUCCUGCCACAAUACCAUUUCAGGAACUUUCACCCCUGCUCUAAUGCGUGUCUUGGUCUCUCACUCUACCGUGUGCCACUCGAUGUCUUUCUUCUCAGGAGGCAGGAACUGAGGUUGCCACAGGCCCAUACGCGUCUGCCGCCGCUCACGGGUCUGCUGCCAAACGUGGAAUCUUGCCCAACGUGUCCUCUGCCAGACAUGCCAUCCCUUCAGAUGCUUCUUUUGCAGGCCACGCACUUGCAAGCUUCCUAUGAUUUCCUUCCCACCGCUGUGCCAUUGGCUGCAAUUUUUCUGCUGUCCACCAUGGCAACCUUCUCACGUGUUCCUUCUGCCACACAUGCAAUCUCCCUAAGUGUCUCUUCUCCCCAACACUCCGCUCUGUGCCUUGUUCCCCUUGCCAAGCAUCCCAUCUUCUCAGGUGUUUCUCCUGCCACACAUGCAAUCUUCCUAAGCGUCUCUUCUCCCCAACACUCCGCUCUGUGCCUUGUUCCCCUUGCCAAGCAUCCCAUCUUCUCAGGUGUUUCUCCUGCCACAUAUUUAAUCGUCUUCACAUGUUGCCUCCCCAGGCUUUGCAUCCUUCCCAGCUCAUCCUCCCUCCCACCCCGCAAUCCUCUCAGAUGCUACCACCGCCCACCGGGCAAUCUCCAGAGGCACUCCUUCUGCUGUCUGUACAACGUUCUUAGCUCUUCCUUCUGCCCAGUGUGCAAUCUUCCCAGAUGGGCCUUCUGCCACACAUUCACAUCUGAUCUGGUAGGUGUUUCUCCUGCCAAACCUUCAUCCUUCUCGGAUGCUCUUCUGCCACAUUUGCAAUCCUGUCAGACGUUCCUGCCACUCGAGGUAGCUGGUCUGAUGUGAGCAUGGAACCAGGGGGGCCCCCUACCACCACCAGGAAUGUCAGGUGACCACGAGGUGACGGUUGGGCGGUUCUUGAACCCUAUGUAUGGAGGAUAACCGCUCACGGCCGGCCGGCACCAAGGAAGGGCAGGCUCCCAAUGGACGGAAGCACUGGAAGGUGGACAUCAGCAGCCUCCCUGUCAGAUCCCAGGAGUCGGGCACAUGGGCUAACGCGGGACACCCUGACAGCCACACCGGCAGGCUUGAGCAGCUCAGUCUCUUUCCUCCGAGAUCAGUCGACGGGUAGGGGAAGAACGCCUCAAGUGAGCAUGCCUAAGACUCUAGGAACCACACUGUGCCUGCAACGCCCCCCGCCCACGGUCUGACAGGCCGUGGUGCCAGUCGGCAGCCCCACCCAAAGGAAGGAUCGGCAGAGAGGCAACAACGCCACCCCGGAAGCCUGCUAAUGGAGGAGAUCCAGAAUCGAAGGUCAAACCCUGCACUCCAUCCCUCAGGUUGCCCGCUUCGCCCUCUUCCAACUGCAUCUCGCUUCCUUUCCUUCCUGCUCCAAAGUGCUGAAGCACCUUUCACUCCUGCUCUUCACUGUGCCUUCCACUUACGCCCCAGGACCAACUUCUCAGGGGGCUUUUGGGGCAGUCUGUACCAACCCCUGCAUAGGACCUCGUUCUGUGGCCCGUUAGGGACCCCACCUUCAUGCUCAUUUCCAGUCAGUGCCCCUCUGGGAACAGGGAAGACUCUUCCUUCAAUCCGGCUGUGUUUUUGCCCCAGGCCACGAGUGCUCCAGAGGUGACUACCUUAUGUCAGGUUGGCAUUGAACGUGGCCCUCUUGAGUCCGAGGGCAGCUCUUUUGGCGAGUGCAGCAAGGCUUUCCAUGAGUCUUCCUCUCUCGCUUCCUCCCACUUCUGCCUGUAGCCUCGAUUUCUCUACUCGUGGCCACGCCCUUCUCCAGAUGCUUCCAAGCCUUCCAGGUCCACUCUGAAGGGAGAAAUUUCCAGCCCCUUCCCGGCAGCUAGCUGAAAAACAGGCUCCUCGUCUACUGUGAGAACCUGGGAAGCCGGAAUCAGACAGUGGAGAUCAUCAUUGUCUUGCUGGAAUGCUCUCAGGCACAGUCACUCUCAUUUCACAGAGACAAGGACAGAGGCCGGACCAAGGCCACAGGCGCAACAGACCCAUAGCACCCAGACCAAAACUGAUCUCUGGCUAACACACGGCCAUUAGAGCAGGGAGGAAGGCAAGGGCAGGGGUACAUGGUAACACUGCUUCAUUCUGGGACCCUGGGGAUGAACGGGGCUCCCCUGCCCACCUGGGCCUCUUCCAAGCCUCCUUGACUUCCUUUGGCUCCUGCCACCAUACCGUUUCAGGAACUUUCGCCUCUGCUCUUAUGCGUGCCUCGGUCUCUCCCUCUGCCUUGUGCCCCUCGGUUGAUGACUUUCUUCUCAGGAGGCAGGAACCGAGACUGCCGCAGGCCCAUACGCAUCUGCCUCCGCUCAUGGGCCCACUGCCAAACGUGGAAUCUUGCCCGACGUGUCCUCUCCCAGACAUGCCACGUCUUCAGAUGCUUCUUCAGCAAGCCAUGCACUUCCAUGCUUCCUACGUUUUCCUCCCCACUGCCGUGCCAUCGGCUGCAACGUUUCUGCUGUCCGCCAUUCACCCUUCUCAUGUGUACCUUUGGCCACACGUGCAAUCUACCUAAGCAUCCCUUCUCCCAAACACUCCACUCUGUCCCUUGUUUCCCCUGGCAAGCAUCCCAUCUUCUCAGGUGUUUCUCCUGCCACAUAUUUAAUCGUCUUCAUGUGUUACCUCCCCAGGCCUUGCAUCCUUCCCAGCUCAUCCUCCCGCCCACCCCGCAAUCCUGUCAGAUGCUACCGCCACCCCACCGGGCAAUCUCCCGAGGCGCUCCUUCUGCUGUCCGUCCAACGUUCUCAGGUCUUCCUUCUUCCCAGUGUGCAAUCUUCCUGGAUGGGCCUUCUGCCACAUGUUCACGUCUGAUCUGGCAGGUGUUUCUUCUGCCAAAUAUGCAAUCCUGUCAGACGUUCCUGUCACUCACGGUAGCUGGUCUGACGUGAGCAUGGUACCAGGGGUUCUCCCUACCUCCAUCAGGAAUGUCAGACGACCAUGAGGUGACUGUCGCGUGGUUCUUGAACCCUAUCUAUGGAGGAAAACCGCUCACGGCCAGCCAGUGCCAAGGAAGGGCAGGCUCCCAAUGGACGGAAGCGCAGGAAGGUGGACAUCAGCAGCCUCCAAGAUCCCAGGAGUCAGGCAUGUGGGCUCACACAGGACCCCCUGACAGCCACACUGGCGGGGUUGAGCAGCUCUGUCCCCUUCCUCUGGGAACACUCGACGGGUAGAGGAUGUACACCUCAAGUGAGCACACCUAAGCCUCCAGGUAUGGCAUUGAGGCUGUCACACCCCCCACCCACAAGCUGACAGGCCGCGACGCCAGUCAACAGCCCCACCCAAGGGAAGGAUCAGUGGAGACGCAACAAUGCCACCCCCAAAACCUGCCAAUGGAGGAGACCCCAAGUUGAAGGUCAAACCCUGCACUCUGUCCCUUAGGUUGCCCGCUUCGCCCUCUUCCAACUGUAUCUUGCUUGCUUUCCUUCCUGCUCCAAAGUGUUGAAGCAGCUUUCACUCCUGCUCUUCACCCUGCCUUCCUCUUACGCCCCAGGGCCAACUUCUUAGGGGGCUUUUGGGGCAGUCUGUCCCGCCACCUGCAUAGGGCCUCGUUCUGUGGCUCUUUGGGACCCCAUCUACUUGCUCAUUUCCAGUCAGCACCCCUCUGGGAAGAGCAAAGAUUCUUCCUUCACGCCAGGUGCGUUUUCACCCCAAGCCACAAGUGCUCCAGAGGUUACUACCUUUCUUCAGGUAGGCAUUAAACAUGGCCCUCUCGAGUGCGAGGGCCGCUCUUUUGGCGAGCGCAACAAGGCUUUCCAUGAGUCUUCCUCUCUCGCUUCCUCCUGCUUCAGUCUGUAGCCUGUUUCUCUACUCCCAGCCGCGCCCUUCUCCAGAUGCUUUCAGACCUUCUAGGUCCUAUCUGAAGGGAGAAAUUUCCAGCUCCCUUGCAGCAGCUAGCUGAAAAACAGGCUCCUCAUCUAGUGUGAAAAUCUAGGAAACAGGAAUCAGACAGCGGAGAUCAUCACUGUCUUGCUGGAAUGCUCUCAGCCACAGUCACUCUCAUGUCACGGACACAAGGACAGAGACCGGACCAAGGCCGCAGGCGCAACAGAUCCAUAGCACCGAGACAAAGGCUGAUCCCAGGCUAACACACGACCGUUAGAGCAGGGAUGUAGGCAAGGCCAGGGGUACACGGUAACACCGGUUCAUUCCGGGCUCCCAGGGAUGAACAGGCCUCCCCCGAUCCCAUUCACUCCAGCACCUCCUCUCUUCUCCAGUGGGUGAUCAUGACAAGAUGGGAACGGGGUUAGCGGGGACACAGUAAGGCCAAUACUUCCCGGAGCCCUAAGGCCAAAUUGGGGACGCCGUAUUCAGGAUCCUAGGAAAGUUAAGAGAGCCCAAGCACGUUGGAGAAGGUCCUUGUAAGCUGCCAGAAACAUUCUCAAAAGGGGACCCGGGAAACAAAUGCCAUGCGGUUUGAAAGGUUGUUAGGUCUGUUAAACGCUUCCACAAUGGACGCUUUACCAGAGGCCGGUCGGGAGUAUUUGCUUACGUGUCAUCUCUGACUGCUUUCACGCUGCUACAGCAUGAACGGCGACCAUGAUACCUAUGAGUGUUUUCCACCUGGCCCUUUACAGGAAGAGCUAGCCAAUCCCUGCAUCGUGCCAUGACCAGAAUGCCCUAAUACUGACUGCUCAUCUUCUGACUCCCCUGCUCAAAAGCUUCCCAUGAAUCUCUGCAGGAAACCUGGUUGGCUCCCUAUCCAUGGCCAUUGUUUCUUCUCACUGGAGAAACACAAUUUUAUUUGGAUCUUUAUCAUUUCCCCAGAUCCAAAAGUAGAAAUAAUCAUUCUAAGCUCAUCAUAGGAAUCAUCAUGUAUUCACAAACCUCAUUCGUUAUAACAUGCCAGUAAAGGAAAAAUAUAACUCACUUACUUAAAUUGUUAUUUAUUCAAAAAUAUUUUUUAAAAUUGUAGGCAACAAAAUUCAAUAAAGGAUUGUUUUUAAGACAAUAGGUUUUGAGAUUAUAAACUAUCUACAAACUAAAUUCUUAACUGUGAAUACUAAACUAUUCAAAGAAAAAAUUUUAUAUAAAUACAAACAUAUUUACACACACAUGCACAGCCACACAGACAUACCAUUGACACACUAAAUUUCUUUUUUGUGAUCGAAACUCAAUAAUCUUAUGCUAGCACCA
rnacentral:lncRNA from 1 species